rnacentral:rRNA from 1 species
UAAUACGGAGGAUCCAAGCGUUAUCCGGAUUUAUUGGGUUUAAAGGGUGCGUAGGCGGCCUAUUAAGUCAGGGGUGAAAGACGGUGGCUCAACCAUCGCAGUGCCCUUGAUACUGAUGGGCUUGAUUACACUUGAGGUAGGCGGAAUGUGACAAGUAGCGGUGAAAUGCAUAGAUAUGUCACAGAACACCAAUUGCGAAGGCAGCUUACUAAGGUGUCAAUGACGCUGAGGCACGAAAGCGUGGGGAUCAAACAGGAUUAGAUACCCUGGUAGUCCACGCCCUAAACGAUGAAUACUCGAUGUUAGCGAUAUACAGUUAGCGUCAAAGCGAAAGCGUUAAGUAUUCCACCUGGGGAGUACGCCCGCAAGGGUGAAACUUAAAGGAAUUGACGG